GACGAACGCUGGCGGCGUGCUUAACACAUGCAAGUCGAACGGAAAGGCUCCAGCUUGCUGGAGUACUCGAGUGGCGAACGGGUGAGUAACACGUGGGUAAUCUGCCCUGCACUCUGGGUUAAGCCUGGGAAACUGGGUCUAAUACUGGAUAUGACCUUUCUCCUUAUGGGGUUUGGUGGAAAGUUUUUCGGUGUAGGAUGAGCCCGCGGCCUAUCAGCUUGUUGGUGGGGUGAUGGCCUACCAAGGCGACGACGGGUAGCCGGCCUGAGAGGGUGAUCGGCCACAUUGGGACUGAGAUACGGCCCAGACUCCUACGGGAGGCAGCAGUGGGGAAUAUUGCACAAUGGGCGGAAGCCUGAUGCAGCGACGCCGCGUGAGGGAUGACGGCCUUCGGGUUGUAAACCUCUUUCAGCAGGGACGAAGCGUAAGUGACGGUACCUGCAGAAGAAGCACCGGCUAACUAUGUG
rnacentral:rRNA from 1 species